UAAAGACAUAGUUUAGUGGGACUGGAAAUCAAAGGUUUCUCUUGAUCUAACUAACACCUACUUAGCUUAGUCCUCACUUCUAGUGGAAUCAUUAGAGGGCCACUGUCUUGAUGGGAGGGUUCUUGUGUGGGGUUUUUUUUUUUUUUUUUUUUGAGACAGGGUCUUGCUCUGUCACCAAAGCUGGAGAGCAGUGGCACAGUCAGGGCGCACUGCUGCUUUAAACUCCCGGAUUCAAGUGGUCCUCCCACGGCAGCCUCCCGUGUAGCUGGGACUACAGGUGCAUGCCACCACACUUGGCUAAUUUUUUUUUUGUUUUAUUUUUUGUAGAGAUGAGGUUCCUACUAUGUUGCCCAGGCUGGUCUCAAACUCGUGGGUUCAAGCAGUCUUGCUGCCUCAGCCCCACAAAGUGCUGUGAUUACAGGUGAGAGCUACCACACCCAGGACCACUCUCUAAGAGCUACUAUAAUUGUGGGUUUACGCCAUCUAAGUUCUUAUCUGUAAUUUUGUUUUCCUCCCUUUCCUGGACAGUGGAGACUGAUCUGCUUACAGUUCUUCAUGCAUCAGUUCUGGCAUAUAACUUGAAGAUUUGAAAGAACCCAAUUGCUAAGCUUUCUUGAGCAUCUAGUCUAUUGUGAGUUAUAUGGUCUUGAUAAUUAAAUAAACAGGAACAAUUUGAGAACAAUAAUACCUGCAACUGCCACGUGACAAAAUCUGUAAAGAUAGAUUUUGCGAAGUAGAGAGGUAAAACUCAAACCAGAUGGUGAAAAAAGUGAUGACCAGGGCAGGAAAUUUGAGAAACAAGAUUAAGGCUUGCCAGAAAUACAGCAGUGAUGUUAAGAAGGUAUAAGGGUAAAGGGUGAAGUUACCUCAAAUGAUGGGCUGAGUUCAGAAUCUUGUGUACUUCAUGAAUCUUGCUUCAGUUCCUCACCUUUACUACAGCGAUAGACACCUGCACCUUAUCUCAGGCCCCCUGCACUGUGACUACUAGACAAAUGCUUCUCAAAUUACAAUGGCCAUAUGAAUCACCAGGAGAUGGCGUUAAAAUGCAGGCUGAUUCUGUAGGUCUGGGCUGGAUUGGAGACACUGUAUUAACAAGCUCCCAGUUGAUGUUGAGAAACACACUUUGAAUAGAAGGCCGUCAUUCCCACUCUGACUGUCCUUAUUCUGUUCUGCCUAAAAAAAAAAUAAAAAAUAAAAAAUAGGGAAAAAAGGCUUAUAAGGAAACCAACUUUUUGUCCUUUUGACCUCCAUCUCUCUUCCUCUUGCUGAGGCAACCACUUUCAGACACACCAGUGUAUAUCUCUUUUCCUAUUUCUAAAUACUAUUGCAAUCUCAUUAUUUUUAAUAGCGAUGCCCAGGCCACAGUGUGGUGGCUCAUAGCUCACUGCAGCGUCAAACUCCUUAGCUCAAGCAGUCCUCCUGCCUCAGCCUCCCAAGUAGCUGGGACUACAGGUAUAUACCACCAUGCCUGGCUAAUUUUUUUGACUUUUUAUUUAUAGAGAUGGGAUCUCACUGCGUUGCCCAGGCUAGUCUUGAACUCCUGGCCUCAAAUGAUCUUCCCACUUCAGCCCCCAACAUAGUUGAGAUUGCAGGAGUGAGCCACUAUGCCUGAUUGUUGCUGUCUCUUUUUUCAUUACUCUUAGAACCCCUCUCUUGACUUCCUGUUUCAGAAAAUGAGGAAUUUAUUUCACAAUCUAUUUCUUCCCUCCAUCCUUAUGAUGUCAUAUCUCAAUUUUUUGUGAAAUCCAUAUUAGGUGCCUUUGUUAUUAUGACCAUAAAUAUUAUGCUCUAAUAAGCCACGUAGUAUUGUAUUCUAUGAUUACUUUUUUUUAAAGUACUUUUCUGUAUGAGUUAUUGGAGUUAAUAAUCAUUCUUUUCUUUUAAAAUGUUUUCUUUAGGCCAGGCAUGGUGGCUCGUGUCUGUAAUCCCAGCACUUUGGGAGACCAAAGUGGGUGGAUCACUUGAGGCCAGGAGUUCAAGACCAGCCUGGCCAACGUGGUGAUUCCUCGUCUCUACGCAAAAUAUAAAAAUUAGCCAGGCCAUGGUGGCGCAUGUCUGUAACCCCAGCUACUUGGGAGGCUGAGGCAGGAGAAUCGCUUGGACCUAGGAGGCAGAAGUUGCAGUGAGCCGAGAUUGUGCCACUUCACUCCAGCCUGGGUGACAGAGUGAGACCCUGUCUCAAAAAUAAAAAAUAAAAAAUGUUUUCUUUGGCUGGGUGUAAUGGUUCACUUCUGUAAUCCCAGCACCUUGGGAGGCCACGGUGGGCAAAUUGCAUGAGCUCAGGAGUUCGAGACCAGCCUGGGCAACAUGGCAAAACCCCGUCUCUACCAAAAAUAUAAAAAAUUAGCCGGGCAUGGUAGCAUGCACCUGUAGUCCCAGCUAUUCAGGAGACUGAGGUGAGAGGAUUGCUUGGAACCAGGAGGUGGAGGUGGCAAUGAGCUGAGAUCAUGCCUCUGUACUCCAGCCUGGGCGCAAGACCCUGUUUGAAAAAUAAAUAAAUAAUACAGUAAAAUGUUUUCUUUGUGGCUGGGUACAGUGGCUCAUGCCUAUAAUCCCAGAACUUUGGGAGGCUGAAGGAGGAGGAUUGCUUGAGGCUAGGAGUUCAAGACCAGCCUUGGCAACACAAUGACUUUUUUUCUUAACAUUUGGAAGAAAUUGCCCCCAUUUUCCUCUGCCUUCCUGUGUUUUUAUGAGGAAGCCGUUUUUAUUUUCAUACCUUUGUAUGCCACCAGUCAUUUUUUUUCUCUGAAAGAUUUAGAUGUCUUUUCUUGGGCCUAAUAUUCUAAAAUUUCAUGACUGUGUCAGUCUUUUGCCUUCCGUCGUGGUGAGCAGUCUUCAUUCUGGAGACCUGGAUCUUUCAGUUCUAAAUACUUUUGUAUUUAGUCUUUGGUGGUUUCCUUCCCUACCUUGUUCUCUCCUUAAUGGGCCUUCUAUUAUUUAGGUGUUCUAUUUUAAGGGAUAUUUUCUUAACUUUCUCUUCCCAUUUAUUCUUCUAUUGUGUUUUUAAAUUUUUUCACCUGUAUUUCUUUUUUAAGUUUUCAGUGUUUCUGUUUAUAUAUCAAUGUAUCCUGUUUUGGUUACUUGGAUUGGAUUUAUUUCCUUAGAGCAUUCAUUUUAAUCACAUUGAAGUUUUAUUCAGCAUGCUGCAUUUUUAUUUCUUUUAAGUUUGUUUAUUGAUAUUUUGGUCUCUUUCAUAUUGUAAGCAUGCCUUGAGGGCAAAUAGCCUUGCUAGUUGUUGUUACCCCUCCUGCCAUUUGCAGGUGCUUAAAUUUGACCUUCACUCUGUCUAUUGCAUCAUUUUCUGAUACCCCAUUCACUUUCCAUCUUAUAAACCAAAAAUAAAAUUCUAAGCCCCCCAAUCAACUGAAUGGACCCCUCCUCUCAGCCAAGGGCCUUCCAAAGUUAACCUAAAAAACGAGUUCAGGCCAUAAUGGGAAGGCAGUUCAGACAUGCCUGAUUGUACCCACCUCCCUUUGGAAUUCAGGCACAACUGACCUGCAUUAACAUUAAAACAGAGACCUUAACGACUGACAAAACAGUUUUUCUAGCAAUAAGAUACCAACAUGACAGCAGGCCCUGAAAGAGAUUAUUUUACCCUAAAAAUAUAUAUUUCUUUGACAUAUUUUCAGAUGGCCCUGCAGAACUGUCUGAUAAGGGAAAAUCUACAUUCUACAGAGAAUCCCCUUCCCUUUCCAAGUCUUUAAUCCCAGAGAGAAUUAAUUAAGAGUCUGGCACCUUUUUAAAUCUUAAAAGAAAAUUUUGCCAUCUAUUCUCUCUGAAGCCUGCUACCUGGAGGCUUUGUCUAUUAUACAUAAGAAGGACCUUGGUCUCCACAACCCCUUAUCGUAAUCCAGACACUCAUUUCUAUUGAUUCCAGGUUUUUAGAUAAUAACUCUUUCAACCAAUUGCCAAUCAGAAAAUCUUUAAAUCAUAUAUAGCCUGCAAGCCCUCAUCUGGCAUUGUCCUCUCUUUCCAUACUGAACCAAUGUACAUCUUACAUGUAUUGAUUGAUGUCUUAUGUCUCCCUAAGAUGUAUAAAAUCAAGCUGUAGCCUGACUACCUUGGGUACAUGUUCUUAAGAUCUCUGGGGGCUGUGUUUUGGGCCAGGGUCACUCAUAUUUGGCUCAGAAUAAGUCUCUUCAAAUAUUUUACAGAGUUUGACUCUUUUUGUUGGCAAUCUUCAGAGAUUGUGGUUUGGGGUUACAAAUGUCUCCUGGCAUGUCAGACUGCUUAUUGCUCCACUAACUUCUUCUUGCACUCAGAUUUAGUUGAGGAAGACAGUGUGCCCUAGGAGCACCCGUGAGAUAGAUUUGGCCAGUGAGAUAGGAGUGGAAGUCCCUGGGUAGUGUUUCUUGGAAAGCUUACUAAAUGGAAUAAAUUUUUGCCCUUUAUUUGCCCUUCUUUGCCUUUCUUCCUCUUUUUGCUUAGAAGGCAAUCCGGCAGCCAUCUUGCAACUACAAGGUGACCAUGAAAAUGAAAACCACAGGUUAGUGGAGAACAGGAUGAUAGAAAGAGUUUGGAUUAUUGAUAAUGUGGUGGAUGCACUGAAUCUACCUGGACUGCCUAAUUCUGCAUUUUUGUAUGACAGAAAUAAAAGCCAACUUCACUGAAUUACUGUGGUCAGAUUUCUGGUCCAAAGAUGGACAACUUCUUCUGUCUUUGUUUCAAGAUUAAUUUUGAGCAAACAGGGUUGAAACUCCUCUGCCACAGCUGGGCCUGGUGGCUCCCGCCUGUAGUCCCAGCUUCUCAGGCCACUGAGGUGGGGGGAUUGGUUGAGCCUAGGAGUUCCAGGGUAUAGUGAGCUAUGAUUGCACCUCUGCACUCCAGCCUGGGCAACAGAGAUCCUGUCUCUAAAAAAAAUUGGAAAUUAAAAUUUUAAAAAGUUGUAUUAGUCGCGUGAGCCACCACCCCCGGCCUAGUUCAAUGAGUUUUGAUGAACAUAUGCAGUCAUGUAACCACUACAAACAACGCAGGGAAACUUUACAAAAGCCUCUUACUU
rnacentral:lncRNA from 1 species